AUGCCGCGUGUGUGAAGAAGGCCUUCGGGUUGUAAAGCACUUUCAGUCAGGAGGAAAGGUUAGUAGUUAAUACCUGCUAGCUGUGACGUUACUGACAGAAGAAGCACCGGCUAACUCCGUGC
rnacentral:rRNA from 1 species